GACGAACGCUGGCGGCGUGCUUAACACAUGCAAGUCGAACGGAAGGGCCCUGCUUUUGUGGGGUGCUCGAGUGGCAAACGGAUGAGUAACACGUGAGUCACCUGCACUUGACUUUGGGAUAACUUCAGGAAACUGGGGCUAAUACCGGAUAGGAGCUCCUGCUGCAUGGUGGGGGUUGGAAAGUUUCGGCGGUUGGGGAUGGACUCGCGGCUUAUCAGCUUGUUGGUGGGGUAGUGGCUUACCAAGGCUUUGACGGGUAGCCGGCCUGAGAGGGUGACCGGCCACAUUGGGACUGAGAUACGGCCCAGACUCCUACGGGAGGCAGCAGUGGGGAAUAUUGCACAAUGGGCGGAAGCCUGAUGCAGCAACGCCGCGUGCGGGAUGACGGCCUUCGGGUUGGUAACCGCUUUCGCCUGUGACGAAGCGUGAGUGACGGUAAUGGGUAAAGAAGCACCGGCUAACUACGUG
rnacentral:rRNA from 1 species